rnacentral:rRNA from 7 species
AAAUUGAAGAGUUUGAUCAUGGCUCAGAUUGAACGCUGGCGGCAGGCCUAACACAUGCAAGUCGAACGGUAACAGGAAGCAGCUUGCUGCUUCGCUGACGAGUGGCGGACGGGUGAGUAAUGUCUGGGAAACUGCCUGAUGGAGGGGGAUAACUACUGGAAACGGUGGCUAAUACCGCAUAACGUCGCAAGACCAAAGAGGGGGACCUUCGGGCCUCUUGCCAUCAGAUGUGCCCAGAUGGGAUUAGCUUGUUGGUGAGGUAACGGC